UACGUAGGGUGCAAGCGUUAAUCGGAAUUAUUGGGCGUAAAGCGCGCGCAGGCGGUCCUUUAAGUCUGAUGUGAAAGCCCACGGCUCAACCGUGGAGGGUCAUUGGAAACUGGGGGACUUGAGUGCAGAAGAGGAAAGCGGAAUUCCACGUGUAGCGGUGAAAUGCGUAGAGAUGUGGAGGAACACCAGUGGCGAAGGCG
rnacentral:rRNA from 1 species